rnacentral:rRNA from 1 species
GAUGAACGCUGGCGGCGUGCCUAAUACAUGCAAGUCGAGCGAACGGACGAGAAGCUUGCUUCUCGGAUGUUAGCGGAGGACGGGUGAGUAACACGUGUAUAACCUACCUAUAAGACUGGUAUAUCUUCGGGAAACCGGAGCUAAUACCGUAUAAUAUUUUGAACCGCAUGGUUCAAUAGUGAAAGACGGUGUUGCUGUCACUUAUAGAUGGAUCUGGGCUGCAUUAGCUGGUUGUUAAGCUAACAGCUUACCAAGGCAAGGAUGCGUAGACGACCGCAGGGGCGGGUAGGCGGCCUGGGAGCGUGGACAGGGACCAGACGCCUGCGAGAGGCAGCAGUAGGGAAUCUGACGCAGUGGGCGAAAGCAUGACGGAGCGGCGCCGAGUGAGAGGUGGAAGUGUUCGGAUCGUAAAACUCUGUUACGAGUGGUGAACAGAUGUGGAAUGAGACGUGGAGUGAGUGACGGUACCUGAUCAGAAAGCAACGGCUAACUACGUG